rnacentral:tRNA from 1 species
GCCGGCGUGGUGAAAUUGGUAGACACGAUAGACUCAAAAUCUAUUAUCCGCAAGGAUGUGUCGGUUCGACUCCGACCGCCGGUA